GUGAGGGAGCGGGGCGUGGGAGGGUGAUCCAGAGCCGUACGGACGAGCGAACGGGAUGGGGUCCGUUCCGCCCUCAGGGGCAGGAGAGGAGAAGGAGGACUCCGAGGAGGAGCGAGGCCUGAGGGGAAAAGACGCCCCGUUAUUUAGAGCCAGGUUAACCCAGAAGAUCAGGCUGCCCGUGUGGGGUUAAGGUACAUGGCUUUCUUCACCUGGUGACUCUUUCUAGUCAACUGCAGACCUGAAUAGAGCCACAGCACUUCUCCCCCCACCACCACCACCACUUGCCUCUCAGGCCUGACACAACUUCAAAGCUGCCACCACAAUCGGCAACCCAUGUCAGUUAAUGAAGACCUUCACAUGAAAGCCAGGGAAAGAGCAAAAGCGGACCGCCGCAGACAGGAACUGGAAGGGUGCAAAUAUGCUGGGAUCUGAGGCAGCCCGCGCACACGUACACAGCCAGCAGCAGGCAGUAACGAUGAUUAAUUAUUGAAGAAAAGCACCCGGGAGCGUCGGCUCAGGCGGGGGGCGGGAAGGUGGCACGGAAACAUCACUCUUGGCUCCUUCCCUGAAGAGCCAUGUUAAUUAGCGCAGCCUGCAAAGCGGAGAGGGAGAGACAGAGAGAUCCAGAGGCAUUUGAUGUGUGGCUGAGGUGGGGGACCUGCAAUUAAGGCAUCUGUUUACCCUUUGUAACUGACCGAGAUUGCUUUUGAAGGAAUUACGGGAUUAAUACAAUUUUUAAAACACA